AUGGUCCUACGGGGGGCAGCAGUGGGGAAUAUUGCACAAUGGGCGAAAGCCUGAUGCAGCAACGCCGCGUGAAGGAAGAAGGGUUUCGGCUCGUAAACUUCUAUUAACAGGGACGAAAGAAAUGACGGUACCUGAAUAAGAAGCCCCGGCUAACUACGUGCCAGCAGCCGCGGUAAUACGUAUGGUGCAAGCGUUAUCCGGACUUACUGGGCGUAAAGGGAGCGCAGGCGGCGCGCCAAGUCUGAUGUGAAACCCCGGGGCUCAACUCCGGGCAUGCAUUGGAAACUGGCGGGCUGGAGUGCCGG
rnacentral:rRNA from 1 species